GGCUGUGUAGCUCAGUGGCAAGAGCACUCGCCCCGGCAACGGGGUACAUUGGUUCGAUCCCAGUCUAGGCCA
rnacentral:tRNA from 1 species